GACGGAGGAUGCAAGCGUUAUCCGGAAUGAUUGGGCGUAAAGCGUCCGCAGGUGGCAGUUCAAGUCUGCUGUCAAAGACCGGGGCUUAACUUCGGAAAGGCAGUGGAAACUGAACAGCUAGAGUAUGGUAGGGGCAGAGGGAAUUCCUGGUGUAGCGGUGAAAUGCGUAGAGAUCAGGAAGAACAUCGGUGGCGAAGGCGCUCUGCUGGACCAUAACUGACACUCAGGGACGAAAGCUAGGUGAGCGAAUGGG
rnacentral:rRNA from 1 species